AAGCGCUUGCAACCAGACUUGCACGCGGUUAAUCAUCCGGUGUUCUCACCGGUGCACUUGACCGCGUUCAGGCCAGCAUCGGUUCGGGUGGCAGGAUAAAGGCCUUGGGAAUGUAUCUACCUACGGGUAGACUUAUAGACCAGGGUGUCAUGCGGCCUCUCGGGACCGAGGAACGCGCUUCGGCUCGGAUGUUGGCGUAAUGGUUGUCAGCG
rnacentral:rRNA from 1 species